ensembl:lncRNA
AGAUGACUCCUGACUGCCCCAUCCCUCUCUUUUUAUGCCCCCCACUGAGAUAAUAUGGAAAUAUUUUAAGCUAUUGGAUUUUCAGGCAGGUAUAUAUUUUAGAACAGUAGUUUCUAAACUUACUGGUCAUCAGAAUCACCUGCGGAUUUUUUUUUUAAUUAACAUUUUCUUCUCCCCCUGCCCUACGAAAUCAGACUCUCAGCCAUGGUGGGAGAAAGUAAGCGGCUGGGGUAGGAAUGUUUUAAAAUCCUUCCUGUAAUUCUAAUGCUCAGUGAGGUUUGUACACAACUGUUGAGAGCACAGAGAUACCUCCCAGCCCCUUCUAAGUCACACCACUUACCUGCUCAGAACCAUGAAGAGAAAAGGAGAAAAUCCUCUGAGCCCCAGCCUGCUUCCCACCUACCUGGCAAAGUGCAUCACUGUUCUCAGAGCUCUGUCACCCGGACCACCUAAUUCAGAUGUUCAUACUUCCGUGCUACCAGGUAAUUCCUUCUGUAGGAAGAAAGAAAAGACAAUACACUUCUUAGGACCUUAGGUAUCGAGCUUUAAAAAAAACUAAUUUCAUUUACUAACGACGACAUCCUUGUAUGAUUGGCAUCGGCACCAUUUUGUAAUUGAAGAAACCAGGGCUGAGAGGACUGUGGCGUUAUUUUGCCAGGUUUCCCCUGUGGUUGGUUGCAGAGGGGGGAUUUGGAACCCAGGACUGUGGAACAGGAUAGAUCACUGGCGUGGUCAUUUGUGCCCUGUUUUUAUUUAUGGUGGAGACUUACUUGAUAGAAGGAAAGGGCAAUUUUCCCCACCUUUUCCUCUCUGGACAGAACGUUGGCUUUUUGUCCUGAGGCUCAGGAUCCUGUUAUGCUCAGGUGUAAGAACUUUAAGAGCUUCUUUGCGUUUCAAAGACUAUCCUGGAGGGGUCAGGCCGGCCCUGCAGCCGAGUGGUUAAGUUUAUGCGCUCCGCUUCUACGGCCAAGGGUUUCAGCAGUUUGGUUCCUGGGCGCAGACGCAGCACCGCUUAUCAAGCCAUGCUGAGGCGGCAUCCCACAUGCCACAACUGGAAAGACCCACAACUAAAAAUACAUACAACUAUGCACUGGGGGGCUUGAGGAGAAAAAGGGAAAAAAUAUAAAAUCUUAAAAAAAAAACAAAAAAACUAUCCUGGAAAAAGCCCCAACCAGGACUGUGAGAGUUCUUGGCUCUUCAAGAAGAGAAGCUGAAGUCCUCUUAAAAAGGGAAGAGAUGGAAGGCGAUGCUUCACAGGGGAGACAGCUAUGCCCCAAACCGGAGAAGAUGAGUUCCCAGAAGCUGGAGGGAAGUGUGGGCAUUUCUUGCACCCAAGUGUACAGAGGAAUUCAGAGUCUUCCACCUCACAAGAGCUGUAAGAGGGGAAGAGCGUGCCACCGUCAACCUAACUUAGGCAGUUGUCCCAUCUUGAAACCUGACUCAUGGGGACCCCCAGAAAGAGAAAAGGAACUGACAUUCACUGUACUUCACACCUGUAGUGUGCCAAGAGCAUCCACCCCUGGGAGUCCUGAGAGCCUCUUCACGGUGUUGAGCAGAUGGCAGUCCCGCCCAGGCAGGUUUUUCCUCCUCCUCCCAUCCCCCACAGCCGGCUCCCACGAUGCAUGAAAGGCUAUACUUGUGUACAGAGCCCUUGGGUGAGAGAUCUCAGCUGUCUGCGCAGGAGUGUGGUCAUCUGCUCACAGAUUUACGGCCUAUAAAGCAUCUGGUUCUUUAUGGAAUAAAAAGCAAACAGGAUGAGUAAAAGAAACCAGGAUGGUGUUAUCUCCUUUUUACAAGUGAAGAAACGGAAGCUCAAAGAAGCUGAACUUGCCUAAGCUUACAGAGUUGGCAAGGCGCAAAAUCGGGGUUUGAUCCCAGGUCUGUUUUGUCUUUUCCUGUUAAUGGACUUCCCUGAUGUCCCCUGGAUUGUCCCAACCCCUGCGUUCCACCUGCUUCCUCCAGGACCACCCUAGAGCUCAUCCGCCAUUAACCCAUUUUUCUCCCAUGGCCUGCUCUGAGACUGGACCGAAUAGCUCAUUUUUCAGGGAACUUUCUAGUCCUUUGGAUUCUGUCUGAGCCCCAGGUUCGGAACAAUCAGCCUAAAUAACAGGCAAUGAUUGG